GCAAAGCUCUUCAGAUGCAUUUAAUCAGGGCUUAUUUGGCUUUCCAACAUGACACCUCCAAGACUUACUAGACUGGUAUAACCCGGCUCUUUAGUUUGAAAAACAGUAUUUAAAUUUACUCUUUUGUAUUGUUUUAUAAACUACUCGUGAUUUUUGGAGUGGAAGAGAGGAAAAUUAUUCCCUGCCUCAAAAAAGAUAAGGAUGAAUCUAGCCUGUAGGAUACAGAAUUCCAAGUACCACGUAAAGGACAAUUGAAAAUGAAUACAUUCCUGCUAUCAUGAGGAAGAACCAACUAUGCCUACAACAAAUGCAAUCAUCUAAUUCACAGUUUUCCUUGGAAAUUGAACAGCAUCAUUAAUGAAAAUACUGUUUAGGAACAAAACUGCAAUGUAUAGUUAGUGGUACAGAAAAAUAGUACUAAGCACCUGAUUUCUACAUUGCCACCAAAGGUA